UACGGAGGAUGCAAGCGUUAUCCGGAUUUAUUGGGUUUAAAGGGUGCGUAGGUGGAUUGGUAAGUCAGUGGUGAAAGUUUGCAGCUUAACUGUAAAAUUGCCGUUGAAACUGCCGGUCUUGAGUGCAAAUGAGGUAGGCGGAAUGCGUCGUGUAGCGGUGAAAUGCUUAGAUAUGACGCAGAACUCAGAUUGCGAAGGCAGCUUACUGGGAUGCAACUGACGCUGAGGCACGAAAGCGUGGGUAUCAAACAGGAUUAGA
rnacentral:rRNA from 1 species